rnacentral:rRNA from 1 species
GAUGAACGCUGGCGGCGUGCCUAAUACAUGCAAGUCGAGCGAACGGACGAGAAGCUUGCUUCUCUGAUGUUAGCGGCGGACGGGUGAGUAACACGUGGAUAACCUACCUAUAAGACUGGGAUAACUUCGGGAAACCGGAGCUAAUACCGGAUGAUAUUUUGAACCGCAUGGUUCAAAAGUGAAAGACGGUCUUGCUGUCACUUAUAGAUGGAUCCGCGCUGCAUUAGCUAGUUGGUAAGGUAACGGCUUACCAAGGCAGCGAUGCAUAGCCGACCUGAGAGGGUGAGCGGCCACACUGGAACUGAGACACGGUCCAGACUCCUACGGGAGGCAGCAGUAGGGAAUCUUCCGCAAUGGGCGAAAGCCUGACGGAGCAACGCCGCGUGAGUGAUGAAGGUCUUCGGAUCGUAAAACUCUGUUAUUAGGGAAGAACAUAUGUGUAAGUAACUGUGCACAUCUUGACGGUACCUAAUCAGAAAGCCACGGCUAACUACGUG